GUCCACGCUGUAAACGAUGAGUGCUAGAUGUUGGUGGAGGAAUUCAUCAGUGUCGCAGCUAACGCAUUAAGCACUCCGCCUGGGGAGUACGGUCGCAAGAUUAAAACUCAAAGGAAUUGACGGGGGCUCGAACAAGCGGUGGAGUAUGUGGUUUAAUUCGAAGCAACGCGAAAAACCUUACCAGCUCUUGACAUGGGAAUUAUGGAGACCGGAGACGGUUUCCUUCGGUUCGGCCGGGUUCCACACAGGUGCUGCAUGGCUGUCGU
rnacentral:rRNA from 1 species